UUAAAUGAUGAUAUAAAAUGUUGCUGGAAGGUUAAUGUCUUAAUUGUUUUAACCGAUGUGAGCACAUGAUUUCUCAAUAGACUACAACGGUAUCUGAUA
rnacentral:snoRNA from 1 species